rnacentral:rRNA from 1 species
GAUGAACGCUAGCGGCAGGCCUAAUACAUGCAAGUCGAGGGGCAGCACGGAUAGCAAUAUCUGGUGGCGACCGGCGCACGGGUGCGUAACACGUAUACAAUCUGCCUUUAACAGGGGGAUAGCCCGGAGAAAUCCGGAUUAAUACCCCAUAAUAGAAUGACUGGCAUCAGUUAUUUUUGAAAGCUCCGGCGGUUAAAGAU